UGUCAUCACAGACAGCGUGUUCUUCUCCAGACUGCCCUAGCAUGGAGCUACAAGAAGGAACUACAUCACUCUGUUCGUGGCUUCCGGGCUGAUGUCCCCACCUCACCAGGGGAUGCCGGACGAGGAUGUCGGCCCCUGAGACUUUCCUAGGAGAAGCAUGGCUAACAC